rnacentral:rRNA from 1 species
UACGAAGGGGGCUAGCGUUGCUCGGAAUUACUGGGCGUAAAGCGUGCGUAGACGGUUACAUAAGUCGGGUGUGAAAGCCCCGGGCUCAACCUGGGAAUUGCAUUCGAGACUGCGUAGCUAGGGUGCGGAAGAGGGAAGCGGAAUUUCCGGUGUAGCGGUGAAAUGCGUAGAUAUCGGAAGGAACACCAGUGGCGAAAGCGGCUUCCUGGUCCAGCACCGACGUUCAGGCACGAAAGCGUGGGGAGCAAAC